rnacentral:lncRNA from 1 species
GGUCCCCAGAGCCUGCCACCCUCGCUCCUGCCAAGAGGCAGCCAAGGGACCCUGGCGGAUGCGCGGGGCCCGGGAGGCUGCUCUGCUUUCCCAUGGCUGGUGCCCAGGAACAAACAGCGCCCCCGUCAACCACGGAGUCACAUCUUCUGCUUUUGUCCAAUCUGUGUCCAGGGACCCCCCCCCCCCUUUUCAUAUUCCCCACCCCACCCAUGCUCCAAAAUGUCUGCAGAGUCCUUCAAAGGGGACCCGUACCAGGCAGAAGCAGAGGCAGGCCAGGCGAGGGCCACGCGCCAGAGUAGUGUGUGUGUGGGGGUGUUGUGCAGGGCUGCCCCCCCCUUGCUGCCACCAGUGGGGAGAGGCAGCUUGCCCCCCCAUCCCUCCCGGGGAGCUCAAAGUGACUGCUUGACAACGGCCCUCAAGGGAGGUGUGUCAAAGGUGGGGACUGGCUGUUUCUGCUUUCUCUGCAAGAAUUUCUCCUUCCAGUUUCUUGUCUUCCGAUCAGCAACAAAACUUGCUCUAGUGGGGGCAGUUUUUUGUGAGAGUUGGGGGGGUGGUUGCGGGGGCAUCGCUCCAGACCCCCCCUGCCUGCAUCCGCCUCGUCGCCUGCUUUGUCAGCAAUCAGACUCCUAGGAACUGCAUUUGACGCAUUACUCAAGUCCAGAGACGACCCCACGCCGCUCCCCUGCCCCCACCCGGAAAAACGUCUCGUCUGGGGUGCUGUGUGUGUGUGUGUCGGCCCCUGGCCAGUUUCCCAUCUGUGUCUGGCUCUGCUCCCAUCUCCCUCGCGAAGCCAUCUGCCCCUUAGUUGCCUUUGCGCCUUUCUCUGAGCGCCCUUUCGAUGCCCUCUGGACAGAAACCUCCUCUGCGUCCCUCUCUGAAGGGGCCGAGGGGGGAGGCUGCCUGCUCCCCCCUUUUCCAAAGCAGCCUGGGGCUCUGCCUCUCCCGCUGCCUUAUCUCUGGGGCUGGGGGGGGGGCAUCCAAGACAGAACAGGCUCCAGCUUCCAAGGAGGGGCCCGCAAAGGAGGCGCAAACGGCGCCCGGACUUCGGAGCACAAACUCACGUCAGCAGCACAAGGGGGGGGGGAGCCCGUGGGCACCGCUUUGGCACUGCUCUUAACAAGCCAUAUCCCUUGCCAUCACGACUUCUGCUAUUGGGGAGGGGCACCUCGGGGAGGGGGCUCCCCCGUCAUGGCACGACGGAGGUGUGCUUUUAUGCAAUAAACAGCAGAGUCAGGAACUGCACCUGGAGACGGCCCCAGGAGGUGCGGGGGGGGGGGGAGGAGAGCUGGUCCCCAGCCAGAGCGGAGGCCCCAAGAGGCCUCCAACAGGCAGCCUCUGCCCCAGAACAGCACAUCAGCUUUGCCUGCGCCCUCAGAGAGUAGAGACCGUCUCGGAUCCUUUAUCUUGCAAUUCCUGCCUUGCCAGGGGUUGGACCAGAUGACCCCUGGGUUCCCUAUGAUGAGGUCAGCCAGAGAGGGAAGGGAGGUUUCUGUGGGUCUUUACACUGCAGAGGCUGGUGCGGUCCUGGCGAGAGUUUUUCAAGCUGGAUGUUGACCCCCCCCCUCCGACCCUUGUUUGUCCCCCUUGAUUUCAAGUCCACCUCCCUGGUUUCCAGCUCUUUUUCCUAUUCAGUGCAGAGAGGAAACGGAAAGGCAACAUCUGUCCUGGAAGCCAGCUGUGCAGCUCUGGGGGGGGCAGGUUAGGGUCAGCAGCUCCUAUCCUUUACCCCUGGGAGCUCAGGGAGAUGCUGAAGUCGUUCCCCUGGUCCAGCUAGCUCCAUCCGUAUUUUGGAUACUGACCGUGGCUCUCUUGAGAUUUCAGACAGGCUCUCUGUAUCCAAAGCAGAUGCUUAACCACUGACCUAUGGCCUUCCUGCCCAGUGUGUCCCAUUCCCAGGACGGCCAGCGACCCCUUAAGAUCUCCCUCCCAGUGUGAAACGCCUUCCUACAGGUCAAUACCCGCCUCCAUUUGCAGCCCGAGCUUUGACACCAGCUGGGGAAUGGGGAUGCUCUUGCCAGCCCAGGGGCAUAGAUUGGGGGCUGUGCUUUGCACAUUCUUCAGGGGGUUGGGGACACCUUGGGUCCCUCCCAGCUCUAUGAUUCUAUCCUCUGAGCUGCAAUGAUUGGUGACCUUGGAGAUUUGAAAACCCAAACUUUAAAACAUGACCCUUGUCCAGAGGAAGACAGUCCCAAGCGCAGCUGGCAGCCGUCCCCAAACAUCUCUCAGCCCCAGGACUUGGUCUCAAGAUGCUCCCUGCCCCACGUCCAGCCGCAUGCUUGAUCCGUCCGGGGCUGGCGUGCUCAUAGCCAAGGCCUGGUGGAGCUCAGAUUAAUCGCCGUGCCUGUGAACAGACCGUUCUGGGGCAGCUUUUCCCAAUCUUGUAACGUUUCCAGCCUGAGAUGGGCCCGAUCCGGCCUCCCUCGCCCCGGGUGUGUCUCCACGGUGCCUCUCCUGGAGCUGGUGCACUUUUAUCUGUUGACGCUUCCGCAACCCCCUCGGCCUCCCCUAACCGUUCAGAAGCCUGUAAGAUAUUGUAAUUGCUUUAAAUAAGUUUUUUUUUCUUUGUCUUGUAUAGAAAAAGAACCGCCAAAAAACUGGAGCAUUUGGGGUUUUGCAUUCUCUCAUUUUGUUUGGCUGUAAAUCUUUCUGAAGAACUGUGUUUUUCAAACAGAGACCAAUUUGUAAAAGAGCUUAGAUCUUGGUUGCAUGAGAUCCAGCGAUCAACUUGCUUGCUGCCUCGUCGUGUGGGUCCCCACCACGUCCAGUCUCGAGAAGCCACGAAUCCCCCACGCACCACAAUGGGUGUUCUUCCAACGUGGCUGCAGGUGUCCGCUGCUCAGACUUCUCCACCC